rnacentral:rRNA from 1 species
CGUAGGGGGCAAGCGUUGUCCGGAUUUACUGGGUGUAAAGGGCGCGCAGGCGGAAUGGAAAGUCAGUGGUGAAAUCCUACAGCUUAACUGUAGAACUGCCUUUGAUACUUUCAUUCUUGAGUUCGGGAGAGAGAGACGGAAUUCCAGGUGUAGUGGUGAAAUACGUAGAUAUCUGGAAGAACACCAGUUGCGAAGGCGGUCUCUUGGUCCGAUACUGACGCUGAGGCGCGAAAGCGUGGGGAGCAA